AAGGAGGGAGAGUAUAUCUAUAAGUGAAGCUCAAUUUGUAAGGAUCUUGGUAGAAAUGUCAAGGGUAGGGACAAAUUAAAGGCGUAAAGAAAGGCUAGACAAAGUGUAUAAAGACUUGGACAAAGGUGUUGAGUUUAAGAUAAAACAAUAUCAGUCUAUAAGAGGAAGGUUGUAAUUGGAUACUAUAGACGAGUGUUAUAGAUGAGUGCUAUAAAGUAGUAUAGAUGAAGUGUGUGAACGUUGUAGGAUGCUAAGUAGAAGAACAAACAAAAGGAAUAAAUAAGGUGAGUUAUGCAUGAAUGAAUCUAGUAGAUGUGAGACCCAUUAAAUAUCUAUUCCUUAGGCUGGACAUUGUGAGCUUUGGGGGGUUAGACCUUAGAUAAGUCUUAAGUUGGAAAGGAAGGGUUGAGAGCGAGAUAUAAUCAUUAAACGAUCCUUUUAAGCUUGCUAGAUGAGCCAAGGGUAUAUAAGUCACACGUAAGGUGGAGCGGUUUGUUAGAAGAGUGGUCUGUUAGAUGCUCAAAUGAAUUACAUGCUUAAGAGCAAUACAUCUUAAGACAAAAAUCUUCUAUGUGCCCAAGCACUCUCAUGUUUUGAAGUUUAAUCAAAUAAUAUUAAAACAGGAUAAUAAUAUGAAAACAACUUAG
rnacentral:lncRNA from 1 species